ACGUCGAGUUAAGGGGCCUAAAUGAAUGCUCAUUCAGAUCCCAUCGAAAGGCGUUGGUUGCUAUAGACAGCAGGACGGUGGCCAUGGAAGUUGGAAUCCGCUAAGGAGUGUGUAACAACUCACCUGCCGAAGCAACUAGCCCUUAAAAUGGUAUGGCGCUCAAGCAUUCUCCCGAUACUCGACCGCCGGGGCACUAGCGGCCACGCCCGAGAGGCGAGGUCUCGAAGCCCCGGUGAGUAAGAGGGUCGCAGUGGUGAGCGCUGAAGGGAUCCGGCGUGAGCCGGCCUGGAGCCGCCACUGGUGCAGAUCUUGGUGGUAGUAGCAAAUACUCGAGAGAGACUCCCUUGAAGACCGAAGUGGAGAAGGGUUCCAUGUGAACAUCAGUUGGACAUGGGUUAGUCGCUCCUAAGCCCAAGGCUAAGGCCUGAUCCCACGCUAGCGGC
rnacentral:rRNA from 1 species